CUUUUUUCUUUCUUUUCCUUCUUAUUCUUUCUUCUAUGUUCUUCCUAUUCUUUUCUCUGUUAAAUUCAAAUCCAGGGUUUUAUAUUUGUUUGCGUGAACGAUUCAUCAGAAGCUUGGCUAAUUAUUGAUUGAGGACGAAGGUGAUGGUGCUGAAGUUAUUUAGCAACGAGAAGAAGCAGAGAAAGGGAUAGUCUAUAUUAACAACGAUCGAUCAAGGAUGAACCAGUGGAUCGUGGAUCUCGAGGUAGGCAUGGCCUGUCAUCAAAUCAGGUGGGAACUUUGUAACAUUUUUGUAAUCAUUAAGUUACUUUAUCUUCGAGCAUGAUGAGUCCUUAUUUUCUAUGAGCAUGUUGUUUGUAAUUGAAUAUGUAUGUUGUGUGAUAUGCGUUGGGUGGUUCUCCGCGAAGAUUGUCUGUGAUUCCCCAUAGCUCUUUGCUAAGUUUAGUAGGGCAAUGCUACGUUGUUGAAUAUUACUUAGUAGCCCGACUUUACCACGGAUAAAUAUUAUUACAUUUUAUUGGCUUAAGAUAGUAGUCCGGCUUUACCCCGGUUAAAUAGUAUAUAUACUACAUUUUAUUUGGGGAUAUCACUCUGUGCAUAUCAUACUUGAUUGUCCAGUCUUGGUAUUAUGACUGGGUUACUAUGACCUUGAUUUAGGAAGAAAUUCUAGGUUCAUGACUAGAUAUGGUUAUUAUUUGGAGACUUCGGUCUACGAAUAAUGAUUGGGACUUUUAUGAACCAGUUGUGCGGGGUCAGAUCAUAAUAAUCAAAACUUUAUUAUAUUCUAGACUUAGAUGGUGGCAUUGGGAUUUAUGAGGUGUACACAUUCCACGUUAAUAUUUUACGGUACCUGGAUUCAUGCUAUCAUUUGAGACUGGAGUUAUUCCUAGCAUCUUCUCCUCCAUUGAGUGAGACGAGGUUGGGAUAACAUAUGUUUAGGUUGUUUAAUUCUUUUCUCGUAGAUCCAUCCGGAGGUGGAUAUUUCAUGUAUAUUGCCACUAUCGACGUAAUAUAUGGGGAUUUGAAUUGAAGCAAUCUUCUGCUCUAUGUUGCGUGUAAAAUAUGUGUAUCGUUUCUCUUUAGUAGAACUGUGAUGCAUGCUAGUGAUUACUUGAAUGUUAUAUGGGGAUUUGAAUUGAAGCAACCACUGACUCCCAUUUGGGAUGAUGUGCUCACUUGUUCCCACUUCAGUUUCAGUUUUUCAGAAGAGAUGGCGCGCAUGAAGAUAUUCGUUUCGUAGUUUGAAACUUUAGCAGAUUAAGAACGUUUAUGGAUCUUUUAUAUAUAUGUAUUCUUGGUUUAUCUGUAAAACAACACGUUAAUAUAUUCAUAUCAUAUGAGAGUUUUCAUCUA